UUAAGUCUACACUCAGUCAUUAUUGCCCGGCCAAUCACUGCAAUUUACUCAUUGCACACAACUUAAGAUUUAAAGGCAAAGAGAGACUGCCUUUCCUGAUGAGGAGGAGGUCGACGAUAGAGCUCCUGCAAAUAUAAAAGGUUGUAAAAAGAUGACGUAUAAAUAAAGGGAAAGACUUUUUGGACUGUUAUCGUGACAACCAGCACUAGGUGGUUUAAUUAAACUAGUUUAAAUCUCAAUCUCCCAAGAGUGGACAGAACCAAGCACAAAACUGAAUAGACUGUGCUGUACAUAAGAAUUAAACACAAUGAGAAACUUGGCAAGUUAUCAGGCAAAGAAAAACCUUGUUUAACUAAACAUGGUUUUGGUUUGAAUGCAGCAUAGCUCUGAACCAUCUGACCAUGAGGAAACUAACAAAUUGUAAACUUUUAUAUACAUUAAAAAAAUAAAAACCUCAUGUGAUCAA